UACGGAGGUGGCAAGCGUUGCUCGGAAUCACUGGGCGUAAAGGGCGCGUAGGCGGGGAGGUAAGUCGGGUGUGAAAUCCCUCGGCCCAACCGAGGAACUGCGCCCGAGACUGCUUCUCUUGAGUCCCGGAGAGGAAGAUGGAAUUCCCGGUGUAGCGGUGAAAUGCGCAGAUAUCAGGAGGAACACCAAUAGCGAAGGCAGCUCGCUGGGACGGUACUGACGCUGAGGCGCGAAAGCGUGGGGAUCAAACAGG
rnacentral:rRNA from 1 species